rnacentral:rRNA from 1 species
GACGAACGCUGGCGGCGUGCUUAACACAUGCAAGUCGAACGGAAAGGCCCUGCUUUUGUGGGGUGCUCGAGUGGCGAACGGGUGAGUAACACGUGAGUAACCUGCCCUUGACUUUGGGAUAACUUCAGGAAACUGGGGCUAAUACCGGAUAGGAGCUCCUGCUGCAUGGUGGGGGUUGGAAAGUUUCGGCGGUUGGGGAUGGACUCGCGGCUUAUCAGCUUGUUGGUGGGGUAGUGGCUUACCAAGGCUUUGACGGGUAGCCGGCCUGAGAGGGUGACCGGCCACAUUGGGACUGAGAUACGGCCCAGACUCCUACGGGAGGCAGCAGUGGGGAAUAUUGCACAAUGGGCGGAAGCCUGAUGCAGCAACGCCGCGUGCGGGAUGACGGCCUUCGGGUGGUAAACCGCUUUCGCCUGUGACGAAGCGUGAGGGACGGGAAUGGGGAAAGAAGCACCGGCGAACUACGG